rnacentral:lncRNA from 1 species
CAUAAUUGGAGGGAACAAGAGUGUGAUUAGUGCUAUGGGAAUGAAUCAUCCAUAAGCAUCAAAGUUAGAACAUUCGAGUUCUAAGACAUGGUUUUCAUGAAAAACGUCGGGUUUUCAUGGGUGUAUUGUUUUAUGAAAACUUCGGGUUUCAAAGGCACUAAAUUUGAAACUACAGGUUCAAUUUAGUUUAUGAAUGUUUAGUUCAUAAAAGAGAGUUUCCUG